rnacentral:rRNA from 1 species
UACGAAGGGGGCAAGCGUUGUUCGGAAUUACUGGGCGUAAAGGGUGUGUAGGCGGAUAUGUAAGAUAGUGGUGAAAUCCCGGAGCUUAACUUUGGAAUUGCCAUUAUAACUAUGUAUCUUGAAUAAUGGAGAGGAUAGCGGAAUACCCAGUGUAGAGGUGAAAUUCGUAGAUAUUGGGUAGAACACCGGUGGCGAAGGCGGCUAUCUGGCCAUUAAUUGACGCUGAGGCACGAAAGCAUGGGUAGCAA